rnacentral:rRNA from 1 species
UACGGGGGGGGCAAGCGUUGUUCGGAAUUACUGGGCGUAAAGGGCUCGUAGGCAGCCAACUAAGUCAGACAUGAAAUCCCCAGGCUCAACCUGGGAACUGCGUCUGAUACUGGAUGGCUUGAAUCCGGGAGAGGGAUGCAGAAUUCCAGGUGUAGCGGUGAAAUGCGUAGAUAUCUGGAGGAAUACCGGUGGCGAAGGCGGCAUCCUGGACCGGCAUUGACGCUGAGGAGCGAAAGCCAGGGGAGCAAACGGG